rnacentral:rRNA from 1 species
UACGGAAGGCAGCAGUGGGGAAUAUUGCACAAUGGGCGAAAGCCUGAUGCAGCUAUGCCGCGUGUAUGAAGAAGGCCUUAGGGUUGUAAAGUACUUUCAUCGGGGAGGAAAAAACAAAACUAAUAAUUUUAUUUCUUGACGUUACCCGAAAAAGAAGCACCGGCUAAUUCCGUGCCAGCAGCCGCGGUAAUACGGAGGGUGCUAGCGUUAAUCAGAAUUACUGGGCGUAAAGAGCACGUAGGUGGUUUUUUUAAGUCAGAUGUGAAAUCCCUGGGCUUAACCUGGAACUGCAUUUUGAAACUGAAAUACUAGAGUAUCGUAGAGGGAGGUAGAAUUCUAGGUGUAGCGGUGAAAUGCGUAGAUAUCUGGAGGAAUACCUGUGGCGAAAGCGGCCUCCUAAACGAAUACUGACACUGAGGUGCGAAAGCGUGGGGAGCAAACAGGGAUUAGAUACC